AGGAAGAUUGUUGGAAUUUUGAGAUGAUAAGUUUCAAGAUUGUUUUUAAUUUAUAGAACUAGAAUUGCUGGAGUUUUAAAGGGACAUGAUUCAAGAUUAAUUUGAGGUUUUUUAUGUCAUUUUUUGUAUUUUUUUAUCUGAGAUUUUAACAAAAGUUAAAAAAAAUUAUUAGAUUUUUAAUAAGUCUUAGUACAAAAAAAAAAGAAGAGCUAUGACAAGAGAGAUGUAAGUUACUUUGUAGAUGGAGAUUUUAAAGGCAGUGGCUGUAAUAAGCAACCAACUUUUUUUUUGUUUGGCUUUCAUUUUUUUAAAAUUUUAUUUAUUGACCU
rnacentral:lncRNA from 1 species